rnacentral:rRNA from 1 species
GAUCAUGGCUCUGGAUGAACGCUAGCUACAGGCUUAACACAUGCAAGUCGAGGGGCAGCAUGACCUAGCAAUAGGUUGAUGGCGACCGGCACACGGGUGAGUAACACGUAUCCAACCUACCGGUUAUUCCGGGAUAGCCUUUCGAAAGAAAGAUUAAUACCGGAUAGUAUAACGAGAAGGCAUCUUCUUGUUAUUAAAGAAUUUCGAUAACCGAUGGGGAUGCGUUCCAUUAGUUUGUUGGCGGGGUAACGGCCC